rnacentral:rRNA from 1 species
CCUACGGGAGGCAGCAGUAGGGAAUAUUGCUCAAUGGGGGAAACCCUGAAGCAGCAACGCCGCGUGAAGGAUGAAGGUUUUCGGAUUGUAAACUCCUUUUGUUAGAGAAGCUAAUGACGGUAUCUAACGACUAAGCACCGGCUAACUCCGUGCCAGCAGCCGCGGUAAUACGGAGGGUGCAAGCGUUUCUCGGAAUCACUAGGCGUAAAGAGCGCGUAGGCGGGAUAGCAAGGCAAAGGUGAAAUCCUAGGGCUUAAACCUAGAACUGCAGUUGAAACUGGUAAUCUAGAGUAUGUGAGAGGUAGGCGGAAGGCGUGGUGUAGCGGGGAAAUGCGUAGAUAUCACGAAGAACACUGAUUGCGAAGGCGGCCUGCAGGAGCACAACUGACGCUGAGGCGCGAAAGCGUGGGGAGCGAACAGGAUUAGAUACCCGUGUAGUC